UUUCUUUUUUCUAUCCGAGGCGGCAAAGAGGGUGCUCGGACCAAACAGCGGUCGGUGGAAGCUUCUUGAAUCUUUCCUGGAGCAGAACAAGAUCCAGCAGAUUUGGGAAGAACCACAGGUUCCUUUUGCCGCAAGAAAGAUCCAACUGGUCUCGGUUCUUGAACCCUAGUCUUUUCAGAGAACUGCUUUGUCUCUCCUUUUCUUCCAUCUAUAGAAGCUGCCCUGAUCAAACAUCUCCCUGUGGAGGCUUCUAAAGACUUCUUCUCAUCUAAAUCUCCCACUUUUUCAGGAGAUGUCAAAGAAGAAGAAGAAGAUGGGUAAGGAUCUGAGUGACAAUACCUUAAGACUCUCGACCUUCUGACAAGAGAUAACAAAAGAAAAGAAAGACUAGAAAGUUGAGAAGAUGGAGACAAGAGAUGCUAAAAAGAGAGAACUUGUGUGUUUAUAACAAAGAUAUGGUCUUCUGAUCUUCUUUUGUGGGUGUUUGUUUUGUUCAUAUAUGUGUUGUUUAGUAAAUAUCCAAUGUAUUUCAAGCAUCGAUUCUGGAGAUUACUUAGAAGUGCCCACAUGGGCAGCCUUUCCUCAA